rnacentral:rRNA from 1 species
UACGUAGGGGGCUAGCGUUGUCCGGAAUCAUUGGGCGUAAAGCGCGUGUAGGCGGUCCGGUAAGUCCGCUGUGAAAGUCGGGGGCUCAACCCUUGAAAGCCGGCCGAUACUGUCGGACUAGAGUCCGGAAGAGGCAAGUGGAAUUCCCGGUGUAGCGGUGAAAUGCGCAGAUAUCGGGAGGAACACCAAUGGCGAAGGCAGCUUGCUGGGACGGUACUGACGCUGAGGCGCGAAAGCGUGGGGAGCAAACAGG